UCUUCCGCAUGGUAGAACUAUUAAAGAAUUUCGGUCAUCGAUGGGGAUGCGUUCCAUUAGGUUGUUGGCGGGGUAACGGCCCACCAAGCCUUCGAUGGAUAGGGGUUCUGAGAGGAAGGUCCCCCACAUUGAACUGAGACACGGUCCAAACUCCUACGGGAGGCAGCAGUGAGGAAUAUUGGUCAAUGGACGAGAGUCUGAACCAGCCAAGUAGCGUGAAGGAUGACUGCCCUAUGGGUUGUAAACUUCUUUUAUACGGGAAUAAAGUGAGGCACGUGUGCCUUUUUGUAUGUACCGUAUGAAUAAGGAUCGGCUAACUCCGUGCCAGCAGCCGCGGUAAUACGGAGGAUCCGAGCGUUAUCCGGAUUUAUUGGGUUUAAAGGGAGCGUAGGCGGACGCUUAAGUCAGUUGUGAAAGUUUGCGGCUCAACCGUAAAAUUGCAGUUGAUACUGGGUGUCUUGAGUACAGUAGAGGCAGGCGGAAUUCGUGGUGUAGCGGUGAAAUGCUUAGAUAUCACGAAGAACUCCGAUUGCGAAGGCAGCCUGCUGGACUGUAACUGACGCUGAUGCUCGAAAGUGUGGGUAUCAAACAGGAUUAGAUACCCUGGUAGUCCACACAGUAAACGAUGAAUACUCGCUGUUUGCGAUAUACAGUAAGCGGCCAAGCGAAAGCGUUAAGUAUUCCACCUGGGGAGUACGCCGGCAACGGUGAAACUCAAAGGAAUUGACGGGGGCCCGCACAAGCGGAGGAACAUGUGGUUUAAUUCGAUGAUACGCGAGGAACCUUACCCGGGCUUGAAUUGCAACUGAAUGAUGUGGAGACAUGUCAGCCGCAAGGCAGUUGUGAAGGUGCUGCAUGGUUGUCGUCAGCUCGUGCCGUGAGGUGUCGGCUUAAGUGCCAUAACGAGCGCAACCCUUAUCGAUAGUUACCAUCAGGUUAUGCUGGGGACUCUGUCGAGACUGCCGUCGUAAGAUGUGAGGAAGGUGGGGAUGACGUCAAAUCAGCACGGCCCUUACGUCCGGGGCUACACACGUGUUACAAUGGGGGGUACAGAAGGCAGCUACACGGCGACGUGAUGCUAAUCCCGAAAGCCUCUCUCAGUUCGGAUUGGAGUCUGCAACCCGACUCCAUGAAGCUGGAUUCGCUAGUAAUCGCGCAUCAGCCACGGCGCGGUGAAUACGUUCCCGG
rnacentral:rRNA from 1 species